rfam:Puccinia sorghi strain RO10H11247 Scaffold_869, whole genome shotgun sequence.
GGGCAGAUGGCCGAGUGGUCUAAGGCGCUAGUUUUAGGUUAUUCAAUGAUGACUGGCAGUCGCAGGAAUUCACUAGUCUUCGGGCGUGGGUUCAAAUCCCACUCUGCUCA